UUCGUAACMMAARGUUCCGUAGGUGAACCAGCGGAGGGAUCAUUAUUGAGUUGCAAAACUCUCAACCCUUAUGUGAACCUACCAGUUGGCAUGUUCCAAGUUGCUUCGGCGGGCAGUUCCUUCGGGGACCGCUUGUUGCCUAUGUACGUAGGUGUCCGCCGGCGGCUUGAAAUAUAAAAUUCUUUGUUUUUUAGUGGUAUUACUUCUGAGUCAUAUACAAAAUAAGUUAAAACUUUCAGCAACGGAUCUCUUGGUUCUGGCAUCGAUGAAGAACGCAGCGAAAUGCGAUAAGUAAUGUGAAUUGCAGAAUUCAGUGAAUCAUCGAAUCUUUGAACGCACAUUGCGCCCGCUAGUAUUCUAGCAGGCAUGCCUGUUCGAGCGUCAUUUCAACCCUCAAGCUCUGCUUGGUGUUGGGGACCCGCCGACCUCUUCGGAGAGGCGUUCCCCCAAAGAUAGUGGCGGACCCGCUGGUGUCUUUCCCCUUGCGUAGUAGUUUCUCUAACGAGCCUCGCACUGGGACCCGGUGGUGUUCUAGCCGUUAAACCCCUAUAUUUCAAUGGUUGACCUCGGAUCAGGUAGRAAUACCCGCUGAACUUAAGCAUAUCAAUAAGCGGA
rnacentral:rRNA from 1 species